rnacentral:rRNA from 1 species
UAGAGUUUGAUCAUGGCUCAGGAUGAACGCUAGCGACAGGCUUAACACAUGCAAGUCGAGGGGCAGCGGGGAGGUAGCAAUACUUCCGCCGGCGACCGGCGCACGGGUGAGUAACACGUAUGGAACCUGCCCGUAGCAGGGGGAUAAACGGAAGAAAUUCCGUCUAAUACCGCGUAAUAACUCCGAGAGGCAUCUCAUGGAGUUUAAAGGGUAACACCGGCUACGGAUGGCCAUGCGGCGCAUUAGCUAGUUGGCGGGGUAACGGCCCACCAAGGCGACGAUGCGUAGGGGUUCUGAGAGGAAGGUCCCCCACACUGGUACUGAGACACGGACCAGACUCCUACGGGAGGCAGCAGUGAGGAAUAUUGGUCAAUGGGCGCGAGCCUGAACCAGCCAAGUCGCGUGAGGGAAGACGGUCCUAUGGAUUGUAAACCUCUUUUGUCGGGGAGCAAAAGACGCCACGUGUGGCGUUCCGAGAGUACCCGAAGAAAAAGCAUCGGCUAACUCCGUGCCAGCAGCCGCGGUAAUACGGAGGAUGCGAGCGUUAUCCGGAUUUAUUGGGUUUAAAGGGUGCGCAGGCGGAAGAUCAAGUCAGCGGUAAAAUUGAGAGGCUCAACCUCUUCGAGCCGUUGAAACUGGUUUUCUUGAGUGAGCGAGAAGUAUGCGGAAUGCGUGGUGUAGCGGUGAAAUGCAUAGAUAUCACGCAGAACUCCGAUUGCGAAGGCAGCAUACCGGCGCUCAACUGACGCUCAUGCACGAAAGUGUGGGUAUCGAACAGGAUUAGAUACCCUGGUAGUCCACACAGUAAACGAUGAAUACUAAUUGUUCGGGGAGAAUGAUCCCUGAGUGAUACAGCGAAAGCGUUAAGUAUUCCACCUGGGGAGUACGCCGGCAACGGUGAAACUCAAAGGAAUUGACGGGGGCCCGCACAAGCGGAGGAACAUGUGGUUUAAUUCGAUGAUACGCGAGGAACCUUACCCGGGCUCAAACGACACAGGAAUACUUUUGAAAGGAGGUAGCUCUACGGAGUCUGUGUCGAGGUGCUGCAUGGUUGUCGUCAGCUCGUGCCGUGAGGUGUCGGCUUAAGUGCCAUAACGAGCGCAACCCCCAUCGCCAGUUACCAGCAAGUCAAGUUGGGGACUCUGGCGAGACUGCCGGCGCAAGCUGUGAGGAAGGCGGGGAUGACGUCAAAUCAGCACGGCCCUUACGUCCGGGGCGACACACGUGUUACAAUGGCAGGUACAGAGAGAAGCAAUGCGGCGACGCAAAGCGGAACUUGAAAGCCUGUCUCAGUUCGGAUUGGAGUCUGCAACUCGACUCCAUGAAGCUGGAUUCGCUAGUAAUCGCGCAUCAGCCAUGGCGCGGUGAAUACGUUCCCGGGCCUUGUACACACCGCCCGUCAAGCCAUGGAAGCCGGGAGUGCCUGAAGUGUGCAACCGCAAGGAGCGCCCUAAGGUAAAAUCUGGUGACUGGGGCUAAGUCGUAACAAGGUAGCCGUA